GGUUAAGCGACUAAGCGUACACGGUGGAUGCCCUGGCAGUCAGAGGCGAUGAAGGACGUGCUAAUCUGCGAUAAGCGUCGGUAAGGUGAUAUGAACCGUUAUAACCGGCGAUUUCCGAAUGGGGAAACCCAGUGUGUUUCGACACACUAUCAUUAACUGAAUCCAUAGGUUAAUGAGGCGAACCGGGGGAACUGAAACAUCUAAGUACCCCGAGGAAAAGAAAUCAACCGAGAUUCCCCCAGUAGCGGCGAGCGAACGGGGAGCAGCCCAGAGCCUGAAUCAGUAUGUGUGUUAGUGGAAGCGUCUGGAAAGGCGCGCGAUACAGGGUGACAGCCCCGUACACAAAAAUGCACAUGCUGUGAGCUCGAUGAGUAGGGCGGGACACGUGGUAUCCUGUCUGAAUAUGGGGGGACCAUCCUCCAAGGCUAAAUACUCCUGACUGACCGAUAGUGAACCAGUACCGUGAGGGAAAGGCGAAAAGAACCCCGGCGAGGGGAGUGAAAAAGAACCUGAAACCGUGUACGUACAAGCAGUGGGAGCACAGAGCAAUCUGUGUGACUGCGUACCUUUUGUAUAAUGGGUCAGCGACUUAUAUUCUGUAGCAAGGUUAACCGAAUAGGGGAGCCGAAGGGAAACCGAGUCUUAACUGGGCGUUAAGUUGCAGGGUAUAGACCCGAAACCCGGUGAUCUAGCCAUGGGCAGGUUGAAGGUUGGGUAACACUAACUGGAGGACCGAACCGACUAAUGUUGAAAAAUUAGCGGAUGACUUGUGGCUGGGGGUGAAAGGCCAAUCAAACCGGGAGAUAGCUGGUUCUCCCCGAAAGCUAUUUAGGUAGCGCCUCGUGAAUUCAUCUCCGGGGGUAGAGCACUGUUUCGGCAAGGGGGUCAUCCCGACUUACCAACCCGAUGCAAACUGCGAAUACCGGAGAAUGUUAUCACGGGAGACACACGGCGGGUGCUAACGUCCGUCGUGAAGAGGGAAACAACCCAGACCGCCAGCUAAGGUCCCAAAGUCAUGGUUAAGUGGGAAACGAUGUGGGAAGGCCCAGACAGCCAGGAUGUUGGCUUAGAAGCAGCCAUCAUUUAAAGAAAGCGUAAUAGCUCACUGGUCGAGUCGGCCUGCGCGGAAGAUGUAACGGGGCUAAACCAUGCACCGAAGCUGCGGCAGCGACGCUGAUGCGUUGUUGGGUAGGGGAGCGUUCUGUAAGCCUGUGAAGGUGUACUGUGAGGUAUGCUGGAGGUAUCAGAAGUGCGAAUGCUGACAUAAGUAACGAUAAAGCGGGUGAAAAGCCCGCUCGCCGGAAGACCAAGGGUUCCUGUCCAACGUUAAUCGGGGCAGGGUGAGUCGACCCCUAAGGCGAGGCCGAAAGGCGUAGUCGAUGGGAAACAGGUUAAUAUUCCUGUACUUGGUGUUACUGCGAAGGGGGGACGGAGAAGGCUAUGUUGGCCGGGCGACGGUUGUCCCGGUUUAAGCGUGUAGGCUGGUUUUCCAGGCAAAUCCGGAAAAUCAAGGCUGAGGCGUGAUGACGAGGCACUACGGUGCUGAAGCAACAAAUGCCCUGCUUCCAGGAAAAGCCUCUAAGCAUCAGGUAACAUCAAAUCGUACCCCAAACCGACACAGGUGGUCAGGUAGAGAAUACCAAGGCGCUUGAGAGAACUCGGGUGAAGGAACUAGGCAAAAUGGUGCCGUAACUUCGGGAGAAGGCACGCUGAUAUGUAGGUGAAGUCCCUCGCGGAUGGAGCUGAAAUCAGUCGAAGAUACCAGCUGGCUGCAACUGUUUAUUAAAAACACAGCACUGUGCAAACACGAAAGUGGACGUAUACGGUGUGACGCCUGCCCGGUGCCGGAAGGUUAAUUGAUGGGGUCAGCGCAAGCGAAGCUCUUGAUCGAAGCCCCGGUAAACGGCGGCCGUAACUAUAACGGUCCUAAGGUAGCGAAAUUCCUUGUCGGGUAAGUUCCGACCUGCACGAAUGGCGUAAUGAUGGCCAGGCUGUCUCCACCCGAGACUCAGUGAAAUUGAACUCGCUGUGAAGAUGCAGUGUACCCGCGGCAAGACGGAAAGACCCCGUGAACCUUUACUAUAGCUUGACACUGAACAUUGAGCCUUGAUGUGUAGGAUAGGUGGGAGGCUUGGAAGUGUGGACGCCAGUCUGCAUGGAGCCGACCUUGAAAUACCACCCUUUAAUGUUUGAUGUUCUAACGUUGACCCGUAAUCCGGGUUGCGGACAGUGUCUGGUGGGUAGUUUGACUGGGGCGGUCUCCUCCUAAAGAGUAACGGAGGAGCACGAAGGUUGGCUAAUCCUGGUCGGACAUCAGGAGGUUAGUGCAAUGGCAUAAGCCAGCUUGACUGCGAGCGUGACGGCGCGAGCAGGUGCGAAAGCAGGUCAUAGUGAUCCGGUGGUUCUGAAUGGAAGGGCCAUCGCUCAACGGAUAAAAGGUACUCCGGGGAUAACAGGCUGAUACCGCCCAAGAGUUCAUAUCGACGGCGGUGUUUGGCACCUCGAUGUCGGCUCAUCACAUCCUGGGGCUGAAGUAGGUCCCAAGGGUAUGGCUGUUCGCCAUUUAAAGUGGUACGCGAGCUGGGUUUAGAACGUCGUGAGACAGUUCGGUCCCUAUCUGCCGUGGGCGCUGGAGAACUGAGGGGGGCUGCUCCUAGUACGAGAGGACCGGAGUGGACGCAUCACUGGUGUUCGGGUUGUCAUGCCAAUGGCACUGCCCGGUAGCUAAAUGCGGAAGAGAUAAGUGCUGAAAGCAUCUAAGCACGAAACUUGCCCCGAGAUGAGUUCUCCCUGACUCCUUGAGAGUCCUGAAGGAACGUUGAAGACGACGACGUUGAUAGGCCGGGUGUGUAAGCGCAGCGAUGCGUUGAGCUAACCGGUACUAAUGAACCGUGAGGCUUAACCUU
rnacentral:rRNA from 1 species